rnacentral:rRNA from 1 species
UAAUACGGGGGGAACAAGCGUUGUUCGGAUUUACUGGGCGUAAAGGGCGCGUAGGCGGCCAGCGCAAGUCAGUUGUGAAAUCUCCGGGCUUAACUCGGAACGGUCAACUGAUACUGCGCGGCUAGAGUGCAGAAGGGGCAACUGGAAUUCUCGGUGUAGCGGUGAAAUGCGUAGAUAUCGAGAGGAACACCUGCGGCGAAGGCGGGUUGCUGGGCUGACACUGACGCUGAGGCGCGAAAGCCAGGGGAGCGAACGGGAUUAGAUACCCCGGUAGUCCUGGCCUUAAACGAUGGAUGCUUGGUGUCUGGAGUUUUAUAGUCUCCGGGUGCCGUAGCUAACGCGUUAAGCAUCCCGCCUGGGGAGUACGGUCGCAAGACU